rnacentral:rRNA from 1 species
AGUGAACGCUGGCGGUAGGCCUAACACAUGCAAGUCGAACGGCAGCACAGUAAGAGCUUGCUCUUACGGGUGGCGAGUGGCGGGCGGGUGAGGAAUACAUCGGAAUCUACUUUUUCGUGGGGGAUAACGUAGGGAAACUUACGCUAAUACCGCAUACGACCUACGGGUGAAAGCAGGGGAUCUUCGGACCUUGCGCGAUUGAAUGAGCCGAUGUCGGAUUAGCUAGUUGGCGGGGUAAAGGCCCACCAAGGCGACGAUCCGUAGCUGGUCUGAGAGGAUGAUCAGGCACACUGGAACUGAGACACGGUCCAGACUCCUACGGGAGGCAGCAGUGGGGAAUAUUGGACAAUGGGCGCAAGCCUGAUCCAGCCAUACCGCGUGGGUGAAGAAGGCCUUCGGGUUGUAAAGCCCUUUUGUUGGGAAAGAAAAGCAGCAGGUUAAUACCCCGCUGUUCUGACGGUACCCAAAGAAUAAGCACCGGCUAACUUCGU